CCCAUGUACUUUCUCUCUCUAUUCAAAGACUCCAUUGAAGAUCAACUCCAAGAUUAAUUAGGGAUCCAAGACUAAAUAUUUAUUCAAUAAAUCUUCAAGGAUUUUUAAGGUUCGGCUCAUUGAAGUACUUAGAGGCCAUUUGCAAGAAAACUUGGUCAUGUGCAAGAAAACAUGGGCUAAGGAGGCGACCCUACAUGAGUUGUUAACAUUUUUAACCAUCUUGAAGGCUAAAGGACCAUCGAAUUGGGUUUCACGAGAGCACCAUUGAAUUGUGUUCUGUGUCUACUUCUGAUAAUUAUGUUCAUACUUAAUGGAGAUGAUAUUAUAGUUUCUUUUUAAAACAUGUGGUUAUUUACAUGUUUUUAACUUUUUUAGGAUAUCCACAGGAUCCUUCCUGUAUAUUGUGGUUGUGUACUACUAUUAUACGUGAUCUUAUUUUUCUUGAGUAGAGUUCCUCUUCCGAUGACGACAUCGAAUUCAAGGGUGAGCUAGUUCUGAUGGACUGCCUUCCAUUCUCUUUU